CGAGCGGCAGCACAGAGGAACUUGUUCCUUGGGUGGCGAGCGGCGGACGGGUGAGUAAUGCCUGGGAAAUUGCCCGGUAGAGGGGGAUAACCAUUGGAAACGAUGGCUAAUACCGCAUAACCUCGCAAGAGCAAAGCAGGGGACCUUCGGGCCUUGCGCUACCGGAUAUGCCCAGGUGGGAUUAGCUAGUUGGUGAGGUAAGGGCUCACCAAGGCGACGAUCCCUAGCUGGUCUGAGAGGAUGAUCAGCCACACUGGAACUGAGACACGGUCCAGACUCCUACGGGAGGCAGCAGUGGGGAAUAU
rnacentral:rRNA from 1 species